UUUUGUUCAAUUAUUUUCUAAUUUCUCAACAUAUAGAUAAGUGUAGGGUUCCAGAAAGUUUGUUAUGCAUGAAUGUAGUUGUAAUAUUUCUACUAUAUAAGGAUGAACAAAUAGAUUAUCGAAUCUAUUUUUUGUAUCUGUUUCCCUAUUUUAUAAUAGAUUUUCUUCUUCUUAUUUUGUUUUUAUCUGUUUCACGUUGAUUUCAUUUAGGUUUUUUUAUAGUCGCUUGAGAGCAACGAUUCUGUUGCCCCAAAGGUUUAAUAUAUGCUUUUUUCCUACAUCUGUUUGAGAAAAUUCCUCAAAAAAUCAGGUUAUGGCAGGACACACAAAAUAGGGUUUACUUAAUGAAAGAGCUCGAUAGAAUUACUGUUCAAGAUAAGAAGUUAUUGAAGUUGACGCCUGAUGAUCAUUUGAAUUUGGAGGGAUUUGAAUUAAAUCUUUUCUCAAAGGCAGACAAAUAAGAUAUAGCUGGACAAGUAGACUUGUAAGAGUCAUUUAAACUGCACCAUAUGAUGUUUGUUUAUAUUUAAACUUUUCUUAAUCGAAAUAAACUAUGAAUUGUAUUUGUAAAGAAAACACUCUGUCUGUUCUAUCUGGUCUAUCCUCGUGCCACAUAAUGUAUAUAUUGGAGAUCCUUGAACAGUUCGGUGAACUCCAGCGUGAUGUGAGUUUUCAUCAUACCAUAAUAAUAUCAAUAUAUUUUUUUCACUUGGCCGUUCGUCCUAUUUUUUUCUUCUUUUGGGUGGGAGUUGGGGUUGGAGGUGGGUACAGGGUUUAACAAUGCAAAUACAAUUUUUUCCCGCAUCAUUGUGGGUCUUGUAAGUUUGAAUAAAUAUGUCUUUAUGUAUGGGUAGUCUCUAUUUACCCUAUGUGUGUUUUUCUCGUCUGUUUAACUUGUUUGUUGUUUCCAUCUGUGACGUUGUUCCUUGACCUUCUUAUUUAUCAAUAGCUCAAGCAAAAACAUAAGUAUACAGUUUGGAAGGCAGCAAAUAUAAGGAAAGCUAUAAAACAAAGACGAAAGCCUAUUCCAGUCCCUCCUGGUGGUGGUGAUGAUUUUUCAUUAUCGGGCCUUCCUGGUGGUGAAAGUAUUUGAUUUCUUAGUCAUUUGGAUAAUUGAUCUCCUGUUGAGAUUAAUAUAUUCUUUAACCCUAUUUUUAAUUGUGCCAAGUCUCAGGCAUGAAUGUCUUAUAUCUAAUUUUUCACACUCUCCCUUUUUCUCUGUAAUCCCUAGAUAAUUAGUUGAUAGUUCUGAUGAGAUUGUCAUUCCAAUUCCCUAUUUAUGUCAACUUAUCCAGUUGUAUUCUUAGAAAAUAUGUUAUUAAGAAUGUUAAGCUUCACAGCACUGUGAGGAAGUAUGGAAUGUCUUUGUCACAUCGACAUUUAUGGUGUUCUCUUCCACUUUGUUAACGUCAGGAGGAAUGCUUGCAGAGACUACAAUACCAUAUAGAUGUUGCAUAUGAUAGUUUAGUUCCUGAACAUCAGGUAUUCUCUAUUUGAAAAUGUCUUGUCCAUGUACUUAUGGACUUAAGACCAAACAUUUUAAAGGAUUUUAAACAUUCCAUUAAGAUUGAAUUUACAUUCUCACUGUUCACCUUUCACUGUCUCUCGCUCCCUCUCUUUUACCAAAAGAAAGCUUUACGUGCAUUGUGGAAAGUUGUCUUCCCUGUGGAAGAACUCCAUGGUUUAAUAUCUGAGCAAUGGAAGGAAAUGGGUUGGCAAGGAAAGGAUCCAUCUAAUGACCUUAGGUACAUCAGCAUCUCUCAUUCCUUUCCUUCUCAAGAAUUCAGAAACAAGAAACCACUGAUGGUUAAGCUUAUCGAUAUUUUGCGUUCUUUUGCCCUUUCUGGUCCUUCCACUGUUGGUUCACCACUGACAUGUUCUGGUUGGUUUCAAUAGGGGUUCCGAAUUCAUAUCACUGGAGAACUUGUUAUAUUUUGCGAGAAAUUUUCUGGUACAUCCUCUUUCUGACUUCUCUUUAUGAAGAGGUGACAUAGUGAACUAAAAACCUUUUAUGCCUAUAAUUAGAAGUUAUUCUAAGCAUUAACAAGUGCUAUUUUUUAAUAAUCAUUGUUUCUUCUUAAAAUUAAAUGGGUCUUAAUGAUUAUCUCCGAAAUGGUGGUUAUUAGUCGGAUGUUUGUGUUAAUAAAUUGAUUCAAUUGACAAAGUAUGAUUCUAUUUGAUUCCUCAACCUUUAAAAAUAUAUUUGUAGUUGAGAGGGUGUUGGUUGAUGGGCAUCUUAAAGUAUGGUUCAAGUGUUCUCCAAUUCCUUGCUAUUGUCAAACAGAAAAGUUUAGCAUACACCCUUUUGUUUUCUUUGAGAUAGCAUAACAUCUAAAAUUUCUACUAUCUAGAAUAGGGGGUGGAGGCACAAUCAAGGGUAAAGCAGUAAUUUCACACUAAUAAAAAUUUUCUCUUUCCACACAAUCCACUUCUUUGGAUAUAAUCCGCCAGACAGAAAAAAGCUCAAGUUUAUUUUUACUUGUCUGUUCUUUGAUCUCAUCUUCUUGUGUUGCGGAUGCCAGGUUAGCUAUUAUCUCAUUUCCUCCUAAAUUUCUUUCAUCUUUUUCCUAUUUUCUAAUUUUAUGACUUAUUCUAACUUUCCCUCUUAAUGUUCUAGGGUGUAUUUUCUUCCUUAUUUCUCUUUAUUCACUUUAAUUUAUUGAUAUUUAUUUUGAUCAAAUCAAACUUUCAGAGACUAUAUCUUCAGUUGGAACUUCAUCUUCUCCAUUGGGUGUUUCAAUGUUAGGUAAGGUUAAUAACCCUGAUUCAGAAAGCAUGACUAUAAUAAAUGAACAAUCGCCAAAAGUAUCAUGGUGAAUAUUAAAUAAUGACAUUCCAAAGUGAUUUAUCAUAUGUCAAUUGUUGAAAGUUGUCGAAGAAGAAAAACUCUAGAAUGUACUACCAACAAGAAGUUUGUAAUGACGUGUACGACACAAAGAUUACUGCCAGAAUGUGCUACCAACUUCAAGUUUGUAAUGAUGUGGGGACGCCAUUAAGAUUAUUGCCAUUGAGUCGUGAAAAUUACAAUGUCUAAUUCAGAAAUUCAAGAUUAGAAAAAAGAAGUGUCUUUCAUGUAAAUUUAUAUCAUUUUUAUUUAUUCUGAGCAAUAUGUCUUGAGAUACCCGUUGGACUUAUUAACAGUUCCAUAAUGCUUAACUAUAUCAGAAUAUUAUUUAGAGUGGCAAAACACUAGCCGCUAUAAAUUGUCAAUGUUCGGGCCUGUGCUACGCACGGGCUAUACUUAUCUAGUUUGAUA